AUGCCGCCGGCAUCGCUGCCGGACGACCUCGUCGAGGAGAUCUUCCUGCGCCUCCCACCGGACGAGCCUGAGAACCUCGUGCGCGCCUCCCUCGCCAGCAUGCUCUGGUUCGGCUGUCGCUUCCGCGGUCGCUACCGCGAGCACCAUGGAGCUCCCCCCAUGCUGGGAUUCCUUCAUACCUGGCCGGGUCCUCCUUGGGGAUGCGAAUCAUUCAUCCAAGCCGCUCGUCGUUUGGGAUGGGACCCCAUAACGGGCUGCCGUAAUGAGCUGCCCAUGCCUUACAUGUUGGGAAACAGCCAUCGGGCCGCCGUGCUCUGCGCCAUGAGCGGCUGCGACCAUCGCACUUGUCACGCCGGUCCCUUCCAGGUGCUCUGUGUCGGCCUGUACAGGAAAGGAGAAGUUGAUGAUGAUUGUGUUGCACACGCUUGUGUGUCCUUGCCAGAGACCAGCAUGCAGUGUCCCCCUUGGUUCGAUUUCUGGGGAGAACCAUGCCGUCGUCUUCAUCUUCCAGACAAUGCACGCAUAGAGCCAAUGCCCCCUGUCCUAGUUGAAGAAGCACUUCACUUCAUGCUUGAGUAUGAUGGUGAUGACAGUGUACAAAUUCUCAAGUACGACUUGAGCUCCAAUAGCUUAUCACUGAUUGAUGCACCUAUUGUGGACUCUCACAUCGCGAGUGCCUCUAUCCUCAUGGCGAUGGAGGAUGGCGGUUUGGGGUUUGCACAUGUGGAUGGGCUGACCCUCUACAUAUGGUCAAGACAGAUGGAUCCCAACAGAGUUGCGUCAUGGAGUCGGCGUACAGUCAUCCAUCUCAGGAACCUUCUCCCCAUCCAAAAUCCCGAGGAAACACUUAUACUGGUUGGAUCCGUGGAAGGCAGUGAUACCAUUUUCGUGACCACAGACCUGGGCAUCUACGAGAUUAAUGUCAAGUCGCAUCACUGGAAGAAGCUGUGGAAGAGACAAAAUUUCUGUGCUUUCAUUCCGGAUGGCCCACAUGGUAGGCCAACGGCUGCCCUAACGGCUAACGGACGCCCGCUCGUGGCCGUUAGUGGCCUGGCUCGGUCGGAACCAGCUAGGGGCCAGGUCAAAAAGAACGACCGGCCGGCCGACCCUCACUCACUCUCACUCACUCCUCUCCCCGAGCUCUCUUCUUCCUCUGUUUCUCACCUCCGGCGACUGCAACGCGGCGGCGCGAGGAUGCCUUCCUGGCCCAACAGCAACGAGACAUCCGAUGCCAACGAUGACGAGUACAUGGACGAGUACAUCAGCAUGCAGAUGGAGUAUUUUCAAACUCUUGACACGGUGAUAGAUCCAAGUUUCAGUGGGCUUGUGGUUGAAUCUGGUCGUAAGUGCAUCCUGCAUAGGCAGAGACCAGGCAGGUUUGUGGCAUUUGAAGGGACUGACACUGGAAGGAGAUUCAUUGGAUGUGCUACUACGGAUGGUGUGAACUGUGGUGUUCUGCAGUGGGUAGAUGCUCCUUGGCCAGUAAUUCUGCAGAGGUGUUUAACCAAGCUGUGGGAUAUGUAUCAUGAGGAGAACCUUGGUGGAGUCCAAGACAAAGAAGCUCAUGAGAUAGAGGUUGAGAAACUGAAGAAGGAGCUGGAUUCUCUUGCCAAUCAGUACAGUCAGCUUGUGGAUGAUGUAUCCAAGCUGUUUGAUUACCAGGAUGGGCAGAAAUCCCAUGACAUGGAUUACACAAGCCAGACAAUCAAUGAAUUUAAGGAGAAGAAGCAUCAGCUUGAGGAGCAGGCAAAGAUUGAGGUUCAAAUGGAGAAGCUUAAGCUGAAGAAAGAACAGAGUUUCUAUCUGUCUUUUUUAUCCUACCUGCAAUAUGGUCCUGAGAGGUUUGUUGUAACAUUUCACAGAUUCCACAAACUUGGUAACACUGAACAAAGCCAACAUCCUAGUCCACUAAGUCCUUGUUACUUGGAAUCAAUGGAAGCUUGCCCUGUCUCUUGCCCACCAGAUGACAAGGUCAUUCGUGAUGUGUGUUCCUUCUGGGAACGCCUCAUUGAACUGCUUGACAUCGUUGGCGUUGCGUUCUACCAUAAUCCUGGUAGCCAGCCUCCGCCGUCGCUCCAGCGCGUGCGCUCUGCGAUUGGCCCUUGCAGCAGCCCUAUCAACCUCCUCGUGGUCAUCCACUACCUCUCCUAA
rnacentral:rRNA from 1 species